UGAGGAAUAUUGGUCAAUGGACGCAAGUCUGAACCAGCCAUGCCGCGUGAAGGAUGAAGGCGUUCUGCGUUGUAAACUUCUUUUAUCUGGGAAGAAACCUCCGAUUUCUAUUGGAGCCGACGGUACCAGAGGAAUAAGCACCGGCUAACUCCGUGCCAGCAGCCGCGGUAAUACGGAGGGUGCAAGCGUUAUCCGGAUUCACUGGGUUUAAAGGGUGUGUAGGCGGGCAGUUAAGUCAGUGGUGAAAUCUCCGAGCUCAACUUGGAAACUGCCAUUGAUACUAUCUGUCUUGAAUACUGUUGAGGUAGGCGGAAUAUAUCAUGUAGCGGUGAAAUGCAUAGAUAUGAUAUAGAACACCAAUUGCGAAGGCAGCUUACUAAGCAGUUAUUGACGCUGAGGCACGAAAGCGUGGGGAUCAAACAGGAUUAGAUACCCCCGUAGUCC
rnacentral:rRNA from 1 species